UUUGAUCCUGGCUCAGGAUGAACGCUGGCGGCGUGCUUAACACAUGCAAGUCGAACGAAGCGCCUGCUUUGAAUUCCUUCGGGAAGGAGAGGCCUGCGACUGAGUGGCGGACGGGUGAGUAACGCGUGGGCAACCUGCCCCGCACUGGGGGACAACAGCUGGAAACGGCUGCUAAUACCGCAUAAGCGCACAGCUUCGCAUGAAGCGGUGUGAAAAACUCCGGUGGUGCGGGAUGGGCCCGCGUCUGAUUAGCUGGUUGGCGGGGUAACGGCCCACCAAGGCAACGAUCAGUAGCCGGCCUGAGAGGGUGGACGGCCACAUUGGGACUGAGACACGGCCCAGACUCCUACGGGAGGCAGCAGUGGGGAAUAUUGCACAAUGGGGGAAACCCUGAUGCAGCGACGCCGCGUGAGCGAAGAAGUAUUUCGGUAUGUAAAGCUCUAUCAGCAGGAAAGAAAAUGACGGUACCUGACUAAGAAGCUCCGGCUAAAUACGUG
rnacentral:rRNA from 1 species